rnacentral:rRNA from 1 species
GACUCUAUAUCUCGGCUCUCGCAUCGAUGAAGAACGUAGCGAAAUGCGAUACUUGGUGUGAAUUGCAGCGUGAACCAUCGAGUCUUUGAACGCAAGUUGCCGUUAACGUCUGCCUGGGCGUCA